AUGAUUCCAGGACCUGGAAUCAUACCAGCCGAUGGCACGACCCUCUUUUGUUGGAUAUUAUGUACUAUUUACCAUAUAACUGGAAUUAACCGAUGCAAGUCGAAGAAGGAUUGGCCGGUGCUACUGGCUGGCGUCAAGUUCGAUCCCACAGAUCAGGAGCUGAUCGAGCACCUUAAGGCCAAAGUGAGUGCUGACAACGCGAUAUCUCACCCUCUCAUUGAUUUGUUCAUACCAACCAUCGACAUCGAGCACGGCAUAUGCUACACCCAUCCUGAGAAACUUCCAGGUAUCACACUGAGUGGCCUAAGCAAGCAUUUCUUCCAGCGCAAUUCCAGGGCGUUCAAAAGGGGCGCAUGCACGCGUCACAAGAUACAGUCGGAGUGCGGCAUGCACGCGAUGUGGCACAAGACCGGCAAUACCUUGCCGGUGAUGGUCAACGGCCGGCAGACGGGCAGCAAUAAGGUUCUGGUGCUGCACACCGACAAGAACUUCGACCAGCAGAGGACCAACUGGGUGAUGCACCAGUCGAGCAAGUUUCAACUUGGAUCUAGACUGCCAAGGCUUGGUUUUGUUUUUAACAGGCCCAACCCAUGA
rnacentral:rRNA from 1 species